GUCCCAAACUCUCUGACCUUUGGCUUCUUUGGGCCUCCACACUCCACAAACCAACAAAACAAACAGACUGGAGCUUCUGAAGCCUAUUGGGGUCGGCUGUGAAGACUGGGCUCCAGGGUGGGCAGGACAUGCAGCCUCUGGUGAGCCAUGUCUCUGGGUCUUGUCUUUGCAGGAAGCUGCUGUGCUUUUUCAUCGAGGCACUGGAAGGUGACAGCGAGAAUGAGCAAACAGAGUACUUAGAAGGCCAGUGCGGGCUGAGGUUUCAGUGGUUCGAGUUUUCUCAAUCCUUCGAUCAGCUGCAAGAGAGAACAAUGUGUACUGCCAGGAAGCUUAGGAUUCUCUCUGGCUGACGUCUUAUUUACACCGUGAUUUAGCCUGGAGCUUAGGCAGGAAUCUCGCCCUGGGUCCUCCGAGUGAGCGUGGCUCCUUUUAUCUCCUCUGUCUCCAGUCUCUCUUCUGGCUCGGUGGUAGGAUGGGCUUUGAGGGAGCACAGGGAAGGCAGGCCCAGUGUGAGGUGAAUGAAUGAACGCCUCAGGGAGUCUUUUCUGGCUCUGAGGCUGGAGGAUUGGUCUAGGGGCUUCCGAAGAGAGAGAACCCCCUGUACCUGCAAGGUCUGCCUUCUCGUGGUUGGGAUAGCAGCCUUUAGGGCAUACUGUGAUAAGAAGUCAAGAAGAUUAGACACAGGCUUUCAGGUGAGUAGAGGGGAAAGGAGGCAGGACAAGAUGAGCUGUUGGAGGAGACACAGGCCAGUUCAUUCAAGAAAUUAGAGCAUUGUGGAGAAACUUAAACAACACAGAAAGGCUUUGCAUAGAUAAUGCUUCAUGCCUGUAAUCCUAGCACUCGGGUGACUGAGGCAGGGGAAUUGCCAAGAAUUAGGAGCCUGUCUGGACUAUGGUCCUAGUUCACUUUGACUGUCAAUUUGACCCAGUUUGGAAUCAUUUGAGGAAAUCUCAAUUAAGGGAACGUCCAGGUCAGAUUGGUCUGUGGCUCUGUCUGUAAGAUACUGUCUUGAUUAAAGAUUGAUGUCAGAGACCCAGCCCCAGCCCACUGUAGGCAGCCAUUCGCAGGCAGGUGGGUCUGGGCUGUGGAAGAAAGCCAGCUGAGCAGGAACCAGAGAACCCUCCAGUCAGCAGCACGUCUCCAGGCCUCCUGCUUCCGUUCCUGCCGCAGUUGCUGCUCCGACUUCCCUCACUGAUGUACCAUGACCUGACAUUCUAAGUCAAGGAAAUUCUUUCCUCCCUUUGAUGGCUAUGUCUGGAAUGAGCCAAAACUCAAGUAGCUGGGUACACCUGUGAAGGAUUUUUCUUAAUUAAAUCAUUUGAAGUGGGAAGAUUCAUCUUAAAUCCAGGUCUUUUGAAGUGGGAAGAUCCACCUUAAAUGUGGGCUACAUCUGGUGGCAGCCUAUAUAUAUAAAGGGCAUAAAAGCAAGAAGCUUGUUCUCUUUGCCUGCCUGUCCUUGCUCUUGCGGGCAAUUCAUUCCUUCACGGGCAUUAGAGCCUACUUCUUUGGGAUUCCCUAGUUACUGAAGACCACCUGAGAUAUCCAGCCUCAGGGACUGAACAACUACUGGAUUCUUGGACUUUACAUUGGUGGGCAACACUUGUUGGGUUAGUUGUUCCAUGGCCUGUCAUUCUAAUAAGUCCCCACACGCUGUCAGUUUUGUUCCUUUAGAGAUCUGUGACCAGUGUACCCCCCUAAGUUGCUUUUGACUGUGGUGUUUGCCACAGAAAUAGAAAGCAAACCGGAAGAGCAGCACAGCCUGAGCGACAUAACAAAACCCUAUUUCAAGAAAGCAAAAAGGGCUGCGGAGACAGGAGGCUGAGUCAGGAGAAUUCCUAGAUGUACAAGGACAGCCAGUCUGGUGUGGACUGCGGAAGGAUAACAAAGAGAUUCCUGUCUCAAACAACAUAGAAGGCAAGGACCGAUGAACCCACAUCCAGUAACUGAUGGAAGCAGAUGCAGUGACCACAGCCAAGCACU